CUCAACCCUGUAUCCAAAUCCCAAGCUGAAGCGCGACUGCGUGAGUACCAAGACGCCGGUGGGAGCGACGGCUACAUGGGCUCCUCCAAGGACAAGACUGAUGGAGGCGGCGGCGGGGACAGGGGAACAGGAGGAGGUGGACGAGCUGCUGGCCGCGCUCGGGUACAAGGUGCGUUCGUCGGAUAUGGCGGACGUCGCUCAAAAGCUGGAGCAGCUCGAGAUGGCCAUGGGGAGCGGCGCACAGAGGGGAAGAGAACCAGCGAGAGAGAGAGAGACGGAAAGAGGAAGAUGAGUCAGGAGCCUGAGGAUCCUGGUGAAGUUCCUCCGUGAGACAGCGGGUCACGUGGUGACGGUGGAGUUGAAGACCGGCGAGGUGUACCGACGGUCCACUCAAGUGCGAGGAUAACUAGAAUUGCCAGCUCAAGAACAUUACCUUCACCGCUAAGAUGGGGACAUUUCGCACCUGGAGCAUGUAUUCAUCAGAGGAAGCAGAGACAAAGGAUCAACUAUUGGAGUUGGCUGUGGUCGUGCUGUUGCAAUGCGUGCUCAGAGUUCAAAAGUUGUUCAAGAUGGCAGUAAUCCUUACACCUUGGAAGGGACAGAUGGCUAGAAAUUUUAGCAAAACUUCAGCGUACGUAUAGAAGCAGAUGCUAACAGCAAGACAUGGGGAGGGAAGGAGAACGGAUGCAGCUACUGAAUGCAUAGCUUGCAGUAGUAGUUGCUACUGCAUCUGAUCCAGUUCCUAAUGACAUUUAUUUGGUCCCCUCAUUUAUGUGUGAUGACAGUUCAUAUUUUUUUAUUGUCAAGUACCUCCUCCAUUCUAUUUUAUUUUGUCGUGUUUUAGUUAAAAAAUAAACUAGCCGGCGACGAAUAUUCGAGAACGGGGGUAGUAAGAUAUAUGACUCGAAAGUUUCUGCCUCCCAGGACACAACCUCUGUCCCUCAUCCUCGAUCUAAAAAUCGGGUACAGUUCAUCUAUUUUUCAUCUGCGACUAAAUUGUAACAGUUCAUCUGUUUUUUUCCCAUUUAUGUGUGAUGAUAGUUCAUCU